GUAACCAUGAUAUGCUGCUAAGCGUCACUCAUGGUUUGUGGAAGCCCUAAUGGUUAGCAAACACUAAUCAACAAAAGGGAAAAUUGAAAUGUGGUUUCAAUUCACAAUCGAUCGUUAAGAGUAACAUCGCCCACUGCCUCGCUAAUUGGAACCUAAUGGAUCGUACACCGAUUAAGGAUGUAUGUGAAGAAAUCAAAUGAAAUGGAUAAGCAAUUAAAUGGUUUAAUUGAAGAAUGGUAAAGAUUAAUUAAUUAGUUAAUUAAUUAUACGAAAGGUUCGUAUUGGGCUUAUAUGUUGGUUUUGGGUUUCGGGGCCCAAAAGCGUUUUGGUCCACAAGGCCCAUUAUGUUUAAGUUGUAUGACAACUAAAACAAAAUGGGCAAAUUAGCCCAAUAACAAAGGAUGGCCGGCCAUUAGGGUGGAUGGGCAAAGUUUGCUUAAUUACAAGUUUGCCACUCACCAAAGAAAAGGUUAUAAAAGCAACUUUAUAGCUAUUUUCUAAUUAGGGUUCUUCUUGUUGAAAUUGGGUGAAACAUUUUCUCCAUUUUCUUCUAAGGAGGCCGGCCACUAAGGGGAGGGACAUCUAGCAAUCUUUUCUUUCCUUAGUCAUCCAUAUCAUCUUCACAAGAUACAACCUUGGUGAAGAGACUUAGAGACAUCAAGCUUUUGGUGUUUUGGAGAACAAAUCCUUUUUCCCCAAAUCAUCAAAGGAGCACUAAAGGGAGGAAAACACAAGGAGGAUUCAAGAAGCUUGGAGGUGACUUGAAGGCCCUCCACUUGGGUGAAUCCCUUGUGUAAUCAAGGAUGAGCUUCAAGGGUAAAGAAUCACUAAAUCUUUACUUCUCUUUAAUGUAGUUAAAGAGUUUAUUUUGGUUCACCAUAUACUAGGCUUUGAAAGUCAUGGGUUUUAUGAAUUGUUUUUGGAUGCAUGCCUACUUUAAAGUGUUAAUAGCUUGCAUGUGUAUUCAAAUGUUCAUACUUGUUCUUAGCUAGGACAAAAUUUUUCCUUCAAGUGGUAUCAGAGCCUAGGCCUAGUGUGUGGUGAAUCCUUUUGGGUUUUGUGAUGUUCAUAUUUUGUGAUUUAAAUGUUGUAAAUGUUACAAGCUUUGUUCUUGCUUUUGAAUAUAUAAAUUUUGCUAGAAAAUUUAGCAUCUCAAAUGUUGUAGAUGUAUUUCAUAUAAGCAUGAAUAUUGGAACUAAAAUUUGGUGCCAUGAGUUUUGGGAAAUUCGGCCAAAUCCUUAGGGUGACUUUUUGGGUUCAUGUUUGUCUUGUUAAAAUGGUUUUAAGGUGACUUUUGGAACCCCUAAGUACCCUAGGAUAUUACCCCUCUUUUGAGAGGUGAAAAAUUGAGUUUUGGUGAAUGAAAACAUCCAUGGGGCUAUUAUGAGUUUUCAUGGUGUUCUUCAAAUGUUCUUGAAGUUCUUGCCAAGAACAAAAAGGUUUGAAGUUUUGAUUCAAAAGUUUUAUGUUUUUCAUAAAGUUUUGGUUUAAUUUUGAUGGGUGAUAGAUAUUGGUGAAGCAUUAAAAUUGGCUUUAAUGUUUGUCUAAACUAAUUAAUGUUUUACAAAACAUUUUCUUACAAACAAUCAACUUCACCUUUACCUCACCCACCAAAAUCAACUUGCAUAUUGCACAUGCAUGCACUAAAACCCUUUCACACUUGUUCACACCCUCCAUGGCCGGCCACCCCAACAAGUGGGGUACUUUUGGGGCCUUUUGUGCAAUUACAUAAAGUUGUGAAAAUUUUGUUUGCAUUUUGGCCCAAAAGUUUACGUUUUUACGUUAAGGCCCUAAAACGCUAAAGGACAAAUUGUUUUGAUCCUUUAAUGAUGUUUUUACAUUAAUGAAAUUUUGAGAUCUAGUUGUAAUUACAUGAAGUUGUGGACUAGUGUUUUUACAAAGUGACCCCAAAAGUUUUUGUAUUUGCAUU
rnacentral:lncRNA from 1 species